rnacentral:pre_miRNA from 3 species
UCUUAUGGAUGAACAAAGAAAGUAGUUUCUUGAGAUAGAGUCUCCUCUUAGGGAAGAUGCUUUGAA